rnacentral:lncRNA from 1 species
GAGGUAUUUAUUUGGGUUAUAGGGGUAUUUUUGAAAGAAAAAUCAGAAAUCAGAGGUCAAAACGCAAUUUAAAAAAAUUGCGCCACGUCAGACGCUCGGUCAGCAGCCCCGACCAACCAGGACGCACCAAGUGGCAGAGGUGCUGAUGCAGGAGGCCAUGCGGGGGGAGCCACGUGGGCGAUCCACGUGCGCACGAUCGAACAGUUGAGGUCCGUUCCCGCGCACACAAACGAUCCAGAGUGAAUCGCGCACGAACGGCCCAUAUUGUAUCGCGAUGAACGGUCCAGAUUCACUCCCUAUUUAAU